rnacentral:rRNA from 1 species
GGAAUAGCCUCGGGAAACUGGGAAUAAUGCCUUAUAAGAUACGUUUGUCGCAUGGCAUUUGUAUUAAACGCUCCGGCGCCAUAGGAUGGACCCGCGUCCCAUUAGCUAGUUGGUGAGAUAACAGCUCACCAAGGCCACGAUGGGUAACCGGUCUGAGAGGGCGAACGGUCACACUGGAACUGAGACACGGUCCAGACUCCUACGGGAGGCAGCAGUGGGGAAUAUUGCGCAAUGGGGGCAACCCUGACGCAGCAAUACCGCGUGAGUGAAGAAGGUUUUCGGAUCGUAAAGCUCUGUUAUUGGGGAAGAAAAAAAGACGGUACCCAAGAAGAAAGUUCCGGCUAACUACGUGCCAGCAGCCGCGGUAAUACGUAGGGAACAAGCGUUGUCCGGAUUUACUGGGCGUAAAGGGCACGCAGGCGGUUUUUUAAGUCAGAUGUGAAAGGCCACAGCUCAACUGUGGACAUGCAUUUGAAACUGAAAGACUUGAGUAUUGGAGAGGCAAGUGGAAUUCCUAGUGUAGCGGUGAAAUGCGUAGAUAUUAGGAGGAACACCGGUGGCGAAGGCGGCUUGCUGGACAAAUACUGAC